rnacentral:rRNA from 1 species
ACAAGCAGCGGAGCGUGUGGUUUAAUUCGUUGCUACACGAAGAACUUACCUGGGUUUGACAUAUAGGUUGUAGGGAACUGAAAGGGACCGACCCUUCGGGGAGCCUAUACAGGUGUUGCAUGGCUGUCGUCAGCUCGUGUCGUGAGAUGUUCGGUUAAGUCCGCUAACGAGCGCAACCCUCGUCGUAUGUUAUAUGUGUCAUACGAGACUGCCGGUAAAAGCCGGAGGAAGGUGAGGAUGAUGUCAAGUCAGCAUGACCUUUAUAUCCAGGGCUACACACACGCUACAAUGGUCUGUACAAUGGGUAGCCAAGCCGCGAGGCGGAGCCAAUCCUGAAAGCAGGCCUCAGUUCAGAUUGCAGUCUGCAACUCGACUGCAUGAAGCCGGAGUUGCUAGUAACCGCAGGUCAGCAAUACUGCGGUGAAUACGUUCCCGGGUCUU